UUGAUCCUGCCGGACCCCACUGCUAUCGGGAUGGGAUUAAGACAUGUUAGUCGUGCGCUUUCAGGCCACGCUGGAGGCGCGGCAUACUGCUCAGUAGCACGUGGCUAACCUACCCUUGGGACGGGUGCACCCCCGGGAAACUGGGGCUAAUGUCCGAUAGGUGAAGACUCCUGGAAUGGAUUUUCGCCUAAAGGGCGCUUAGGGCAUGCUUCUAGGCGUUGCCCAAGGAUGGGGCCGCGGCCGAUCAGGUUGUUGGUGAGGUAAUGGCUCACCAAGCCUAUAACCGGUGCGGGCCGUGAGAGCGGGAGCCCGGAGAUGGGCACUGAGACAAGGGCCCAGGCCCUACGGGGCGCAGCAGUCGCGAAAACUUCGCAAUACACGAAAGUGUGACGGGGCUAUCCCGAGUGCUAUCCGCUGAGGAUGGCUUUUACCUAGUAUAGAUAGCUGGGGGAAUAAGGAGAGGGCAAGUCUGGUGUCAGCCGCCGCGGUAAUACCAGCUCUCCGAGUGGUGUGGAUGGUUAUUGGGCUUAAAGCAUCCGUAGCCUGCUGAGCAAGUCCCCUGUUAAACCCAACGAUCUAAUCGUUGGUCUGCGGGGGAUACUGUUCGGCUAGGGGGCGGGAGAGGCCGCCGGUAUUCUCGGGGUAGGGGUGAAAUCCUAUAAUCCCGGGAGGACCACCAGUGGCGAAGGCUGUCGGCUAGAACGCGCCCGACGGUGAGGGAUGAAAGCUGGGGGAGCGAACCGGAUUAGAUACCCGGGUAGUCCCAGCUGUAAACGAUGCUGGCUAGGUGUUGAAGCGGCUACGAGCCGCUUCAGUGCCGCAGGGAAGCCAUUAAGCCAGCCGCCUGGGGAGUACGGCCGCAAGGCUGAAACUUAAAGGAAUUGGCGGGGGAGCACCACAAGGGGUGAAGCUUGCGGUUUAAUUGGAGUCAACGCCGG
rnacentral:rRNA from 1 species